AAUAUGGGAAUGGUUCCCAUAAUGAUAUGGGAAUGAUUCUUAUAAUAUUAUGGGAACCAUUCCCAUAAUGGUAUGGGAACUAUUCUAAUACUAUUAUGGGGAUGGUUCCCAUAGUAUAUGGGAACCAUCCCUAUAGUAGUAUAGGUACUAUUCCCAUACCAUUAUGGGAACCAUUCCCAUAAUGCAUAGCAAAACUUCCCAUAAUUUUCUUUCCGUGUUUUAAAUUUACUUCUAAUAAAUAUGAAAGGUCAACAUCGAAGUCAACUUAAUUUAUUAAAAUAAUAAAUCAUAAAAAAAAUUAGUAUUUUAAAAUCAGAGGUCGCUUUAUCGCUUUGCUCUCCGCAUAUCGUUACUACACUCAUCAAGUUUAUCCAGAUUGUGUAAUAAUCCAGAUUGCAUUGUCCGUGAGAAGCUAAAUAGGUUAGAAAAUAAAUGAAUUGAUGUCUAAAAAUUCAUCAAAUUUUUAUAUAAAUAUAGCAGAUAUAAAUUAUGCUGAAAAUUGAAGCGUAUUCCAGUUGACAAUUUUCAACCGCACGAAUUUAGAACUUGAAUAAUUAAUUGAACGACUUAUUGUUAAUUUCUGAACUUGCAAUGUCGAAAAUAAUUUUAUUUAUUUUUAUUGUUGGAUUUUUUGCAGUAGCAACUGAUGCUUGUGCUGCCUAUAGGGCAUGGUGUCACCCAAGUUAUGGAUACAGUUGUUGUGAUGCUCUCAAUUAUUGUUCAAACGGUUACUUCAGACAAGGACUCUGUUGGAGAAGAGCUGAAGUUAUGGGAUAGUAGAGGCAAAGUCUAAGCCCGGCUAAUUUGAUCACGAAUCAUAAAAAAAACUGGUGACUUAGAAUGUCAUUUUAAAUUUCAAAAUCUAAAAUUGAACUUUAUAAUGUUUAAAAUAAACUAUUGUAGUUAUAAAAUUGAAGCAAUAAAUUUAUAUAAAUAAGCAAUAAAAAUUUUAAUUUAAUAAAUUAUAGACAAAUUUAAA